UCCUCAGUAGUGUAGUGGUUAGUAUUCCCGUCUGUCACGCGAGCGACUGAGGUUCGAUUCCCCACCAGGGAG
rnacentral:tRNA from 1 species